rnacentral:rRNA from 1 species
AUUGAACGCUGGCGGCAUGCCUUACACAUGCAAGUCGAACGGCAGCACGGGAGCUUGCUCCUGGUGGCGAGUGGCGAACGGGUGAGUAAUACAUCGGAACGUACCCAGGAGUGGGGGAUAACGUAGCGAAAGUUACGCUAAUACCGCAUAUUCUGUGAGCAGGAAAGCGGGGGAUCGCAAGACCCCGCGCUCUUGGAGCGGCCGAUGUCGGAUUAGCUAGUUGGUGAGGUAAAAGCUCACCAAGGCGACGAUCCGUAGCAGGUCUGAGAGGAUGAUCGGCCACACUGGGACUGAGACACGGCCCAGACUCCUACGGGAGGCAGCAGUGGGGAAUUUUGGACAAUGGGGGCAACCCUGAUCCAGCCAUGCCGCGUGAGUGAAGAAGGCCUUCGGGUUGUAAAGCUCUUUCGGCGGGGAAGAAAUGGCAACGGCUAAUAUCUGUUGUUGAUGACGGUACCCGCAUAAGAAGCACCGGCUAACUACGUGCCAGCCGCCGCCGUAA